rnacentral:lncRNA from 1 species
UCGUCUUCAUCAACGUCUUCUUCACCAUCUUCAUCACCUAUAUCUGAGUCCUCAUGUUCUUCAUCAUCACCCAUGUUUAUAUCUUUAACUUCUUUGUUCACUUUAGGUUUUUUGUUUUGGUCAUGUUUCUUAUUGGAUGUAUAGAAGUCUUCAUUACAUAAUUUCUUCAGCUUCCGAAUCGUCCUCUUCGCCUGCAAGUUCCAAAAGUC